rnacentral:rRNA from 1 species
CCUACGGGUGGCAGCAGUGAGGAAUAUUGGUCAAUGGACGGAAGUCUGAAGCAGCCAUGCCGCGUGCAGGAAGAAGGCUCUAUGAGUUGUAAACUGCUUUUGUACAAGGGUAAACCUGAAUACGUGUAUUCAGCUGAACGUACUGUACGAAUAAAGAUCGGCUAACUCCGUGCCAGCGGCCGCGGUAAUACGGAGGAUCCAAGCGUUAUCCGGCUUUAGUGGGUUUAAAGGGUGCGUAGGCGGAUUUAUAAGUUAGAGGGGAAAUGUCUGCGCUUAAAUCGGGAACUGCCUCUAAUACUGUUGAUCUAGAGAGUAGAUGCGGUAGGCGGAAUGUAUGGUGUAGCGGUGAAAUGCUUAGAGAUCAUACAGAACACCGAUUGCGAAGGCAGCUCACCAAGCUAUAUCUGACGUUGAGGCACGAAAGCGUGGGGAGCAAACAGGAUUAGAUACCCCAGUAGUC